rnacentral:rRNA from 1 species
GACGAACGCUGGCGGCGUGCUUAACACAUGCAAGUCGAACGGAAAGGCCCUGCUUGCAGGGUACUCGAGUGGCGAACGGGUGAGUAACACGUGGGUGAUCUGCCCUGCACUUCGGGAUAAGCCUGGGAAACUGGGUCUAAUACCGGAUAGGAGCCAUUUUUAGUGUGAUGGUUGGAAAGCUUUUUCGGUGUAGGAUGAGCUCGCGGCCUAUCAGCUUGUUGGUGGGGUAAUGGCCUACCAAGGCGGCGACGGGUAGCCGGCCUGAGAGGGUGGACGGCCACAUUGGGACUGAGAUACGGCCCAGACUCCUACGGGAGGCAGCAGUGGGGAAUAUUGCACAAUGGGCGCAAGCCUGAUGCAGCGACGCGCGUGGGGGAUGACGGCCUUCGGGUUGUAAACUCCUUUCGCUAGGGACGAAGCUUUUUGUGACGGUACCUAGAUAAGAAGCACCGGCUAACUACGUG